CUCGUCACCAGUUCAUGAUGCAGUUACGGUUCAGAGUCAUAAAGUAAACUUGGCUGCUUCCUCCAGAGCGGACUGAGGCAAAAAACACCUGGAUAAAGUAGAAAAGACAUCACCAAGGGGUAAAGAUGAAGAUAAGCAAGCAAAAGUUAAGCCCCUUGUCCCCAAACUCCAUACACACACCUGAGAUGGUGAUGAGCAAGUUGAGCCCUUCCAGGACAUCCAUUUGCUGGAAGCGUCGUCGCCCAAUUAGUCCAUACACUUUGCCCUGCCCACUUCGGUCCAGCAACAUCAGCCCAUUCUCUGUGCCCACUAGGAGGUUGACCCCUGCAACAGGAAUCCUCGGACAGGUCAGAGGCAGAUCCAGGUUGUCCCCUGACCAGGAGCAUGGAGGCUGUGCAGAGACCAUUUUCACCUCUUUCAGCCCUGGCUUACCCCAAAGAGCUGCACAGAGGAUCUCGGAAUUGAAUCGCUUCUUGUACUUGCGAAUCUCAGGAGUUUCACUAUGAGCUCGGGUGUUGGUGGGAUUGACAUUGACCACAGAGCCCUUCCUCACAUCGAAUUGCAGCUGAUCAAGACGACCACCUUCUCCACCCACUAGUGCUGCCAAAGAAGAGGAGGGAGGGUGGGCUACAGCCUCUCAGUGAUUACUUUUAUUCCUAUGCCUCUCCAUCUGAUCUUGGCACAUCAGAAUCUUCUGAAGGGGAGACUCUAGAACAGAGGUGCACUGAGAUAAGAGCGCCUGAGCUUGAGGCCAAGGCCUAGCUCAAUGCCUGUCUCCACCACUCAGCAGUUCCACCUCUGCCUGGCUCUCUCAGCCACUCUUAGCAACAGCCCCACUCCCGGUAGCCCUCCCUCGUAAUCUGUGCCAAGGCAGGGGCUAAGCCUCAAAUAAGAGGCCUGUGCUUGGACUUUUAAAAAGAUUUUUUGAAUUCUA